CAAUACGUCAGCGGCAGACGGGUGAGUAACGCGUUGGGAACGUACCUUUUGGUUCGGAACAACACAGGGAAACUUGUGCUAAUACCGGAUAAGCCCUUACGGGGAAAGAUUUAUCGCCGAAAGAUCGGCCCGCGUCUGAUUAGCUAGUUGGUAGGGUAAUGGCCUACCAAGGCGACGAUCAGUAGCUGGUCUGAGAGGAUGAUCAGCCACAUUGGGACUGAGACACGGCCCAAACUCCUACGGGAGGCAGCAGUGGGGAAUAUUGGACAAUGGGGGCAACCCUGAUCCAGCCAUGCCGCGUGAGUGAUGAAGGCCCUAGGGUUGUAAAGCUCUUUUGUGCGGGAAGAUAAUGACGGUACCGCAAGAAUAAGCCCCGGCUAACUUCGUGCCAGCAGCCGCGGUAAUACGAAGGGGGCUAGCGUUGCUCGGAAUCACUGGGCGUAAAGGGUGCGUAGGCGGGUCUUUAAGUCAGGGGUGAAAUCCUGGAGCUCAACUCCAGAACUGCCUUUGAUACUGAAGAUCUUGAGUCCGGGAGAGGUGAGUGGAACUGC
rnacentral:rRNA from 1 species